rnacentral:rRNA from 1 species
CAGUCGCCGCGGUAAUACGAAGGGGGCUAGCGUUGUUCGGAAUUACUGGGCGUAAAGGGCGCGUAGGCGGCCAUUCAAGUUAGAUGUGAAAGCCCUGGGCUCAACCUAGGAAUUGCAUUUGAUACUGUUUGGCUUGAGUUCGGGAGAGGUGAGUGGAAUUCCCAGUGUAGAGGUGAAAUUCGUAGAUAUUGGGAAGAACACCAGUGGCGAAGGCGGCUCACUGGACCGACACUGACGCUGAGGCGCGAAAGCGUGGGGAGCAAACAGGAUUAGAUACCCCCGUAGUCCCUGUCUCUUAUAA